rfam:Gossypium hirsutum cultivar TM-1 chromosome 24, whole genome shotgun sequence
AAUCCUGUGGUGAGGGUAUUAGCGUAAUAACUCUUUGAAUCUUUCCCAUGCCUCGUAUAAGGAUUCCUCAUCCAUUUGUUGAAAAUUUGUAAUCUCAUUCCGUAACU